rnacentral:rRNA from 1 species
UACGGAGGGUGCUAGCGUUGUUCGGAAUCAUUGGGCGUAAAGGGCGUGUAGGCGGUUUGUUAAGUCAUGUGUGAAAUCCCUCGGCUCAACCGGGGAACGACGCAUGAAACUGGCAAGCUAGAGUACCAAAGAGGGGGGUGGAAUUCCCGGUGUAGCGGUGAAAUGCGCAGAUAUCAGGAGGAACACCGGUGGCGAAGGCGGGUCUCUGGGCCGAUACUGACGCUGAGGAGCGAAAGCGUGGGGAGCAAACAGG